GACAGAGGAUGCAAGCGUUAUCCGGAAUGAUUGGGCGUAAAGCGUCUGUAGGUGGCUUUUUAAGUCUGCCGUCAAAUCCCAGGGCUCAACCCUGGACAGGCGGUGGAAACUACCAAGCUGGAGUACGGUAGGGGCAGAGGGAAUUUCCGGUGGAGCGGUGAAAUGCGUAGAUAUUGGAAAGACCACCAAUGGCGAAGGCACUCUACUGGGCCAUUACUGACACUGAGAGACGAAAGCUAGGGGAGCGAAUGGG
rnacentral:rRNA from 1 species